GCUCUUUUAGCGCAGUAGGCAGCGCAUCAGUCUCAUAAUCUGAAGGUCCUGAGUUCGGCUCUCAGAGAGAGCA